rnacentral:rRNA from 1 species
GAUGAACGCUAGCUACAGGCUUAACACAUGCAAGUCGAGGGGAAACGGCAUUAAGUGCUUGCACUUUUUGGACGUCGACCGGCGCACGGGUGAGUAACGCGUAUCCAACCUUCCCAUGACUAAGGGAUAACCUGCCGAAAGGCAGACUAAUACCUUAUGGUCUUCACUGACGGCAUCAGAUGUGAAGUAAAGAUUUAUCGGUUAUGGAUGGGGAUGCGUCUGAUUAGCUUGUUGGCGGGGUAACGGCCCACCAAGGCAACGAUCAGUAGGGGUUCUGAGAGGAAGGUCCCCCACAUUGGAACUGAGACACGGUCCAAACUCCUACGGGAGGCAGCAGUGAGGAAUAUUGGUCAAUGGGCGAGAGCCUGAACCAGCCAAGUAGCGUGCAGGAUGACGGCCCUAUGGGUUGUAAACUGCUUUUGUAUGGGGAUAAAGUCAAUCACGUGUGAUUGUUUGCAGGUACCAUACGAAUAAGGACCGGCUAAUUCCGUGCCAGCAGCCGCGGUAAUACGGAAGGUCCGGGCGUUAUCCGGAUUUAUUGGGUUUAAAGGGAGCGUAGGCUGGAGAUUAAGCGUGUUGUGAAAUGUAGACGCUCAACGUCUGACUUGCAGCGCAUACUGGUUUCCUUGAGUACGCACAACGUUGGCGGAAUUCGUCGUGUAGCGGUGAAAUGCUUAGAUAUGACGAAGAACUCCGAUUGCGAAGGCAGCUGACGGGAGCGCAACUGACGCUGAAGCUCGAAGGUGCGGGUAUCGAACAGG